rnacentral:rRNA from 1 species
UGCCAGCAGCCGCGGUAAUACGAAGGGACAUAGCGUAGUUCGGAAUUACUGGGCUUAAAGCGUAUGUAGGCGGAUCAAAAAGUUAGAUGUGAAAUCCCUGGGCUCAACCCAGGAACUGCAUUUAAAACUAGUGAUCUAGAAAUUGGUAAAGGUUAGUAGAAUUUCCAGUGUAGAGGUGAAAUUCGUAGAUAUUGGAAAGAAUACCAGAAGCGAAGGCGACUAACUAGGCCAUUUUUGACGCUGAGAUACGAAAGCGUGGGUAGCAAACAGGAUUAGAUA